UACAGAGGGUGCAAGCGUUGUUCGGAAUUAUUGGGCGUAAAGCGCGUGUAGGCGGCUUUGCAAGUCGGGUGUGAAAGCCCUCAGCUCAACUGAGGAAGUGCGCCCGAAACUGCAGAGCUUGAGUGCCGGAGAGGGUGGCGGAAUUCCCGGUGUAGAGGUGAAAUUCGUAGAUAUCGGGAGGAACACCAGUGGCGAAGGCGGCGACCUGGGCCAAUACUGACGCUGAGGUGCGAAAGCGUGGGGAGCAAACAGG
rnacentral:rRNA from 1 species